rnacentral:rRNA from 1 species
GAUGAACGCUAGCUACAGGCUUAACGCAUGCAAGUCGUGGGGCAGCAUGGGGGUUGCUUGCAAUCCCCGAUGGCGACCGGCGCACGGGUGAGUAACGCGUAUCCAACCUGCCCUUCACCACGGGAUAACCCGGCGAAAGUCGGACUAAUACCGUAUGUUGUCCAUUGACGGCAUCCGAUUUGGACGAAAGGUUUGGCGGUGAAGGAUGGGGAUGCGUCCGAUUAGCUGGACGGCGGGGUGACGGCCCACCGUGGCGACGAUCGGUAGGGGUUCUGAGAGGAAGGUCCCCCACACUGGAACUGAGACACGGUCCAGACUCCUACGGGAGGCAGCAGUGAGGAAUAUUGGUCAAUGGGCGUAAGCCUGAACCAGCCAAGUAGCGUGCAGGAUGACGGCCCUAUGGGUUGUAAACUGCUUUUAUGCGGGGAUAAAGUGGCCCACGUGUGGGUUUUUGCAGGUACCGCAUGAAUAAGGACCGGCUAAUUCCGUG